GCCCAGAUAGCUCAGCUGGUAGAGCAUCGCACUGAAAAUGCGGGUGUCGGCAGUUCAAGUCUGCCUCUGGGCACCA
rnacentral:tRNA from 1 species